rnacentral:tRNA from 1 species
GGGGUUGUGGCUCAGCAAUAGAGCGCCCACCUCACAUGUGUGAGACCCUGGGUUCGAUCCUCAGCACCA